AUCUUUGCGCUUGGGGCAAUGACGCAGCUCAUGAGGUUUUACCGAGGCGCGUCAAUUGCUGGUUGAAAACUAUUUCCAAACCCCCUCCAAGGCCUGGGCCAGACCCUGGCCUUGGAGAAUUUCUGGAAGGGUCCCCUUCUCUAAGGGUAAGCCC